UACGAAGGGGGCUAGCGUUGUUCGGAAUAACUGGGCGUAAAGAGCUCGUAGGCGGAUUUGCAAGUCAGGGGUGAAAUCCCGGGGCUUAACCUCGGAACUGCCUUUGAAACUGCAAAUCUGGAAUCGCAGAGGGGAUAGCCGAAUUCCUAAUGUAGGGGUGAAAUCCGUAGAUAUUAGGAGGAACACCGGUGGCGAAGGCGGCUAUCUGGAUGAGUAUUGACGCUGAGGCGCGAAAGCGUGGGGAGCAAACAGG
rnacentral:rRNA from 1 species